rnacentral:lncRNA from 1 species
UCACCGUGCCGAACGGAGAAGGGAGUGGCCACGGGGUAGAUCCGUAAGACUCUCUUCUUCCUUGAUUCUUUUUUGUUUUAAAGUAAGUUAAUGAAAUAAAAAAAUAAAACAAAGCAAAGAUAAAUAGAAAGAUUGAGAUAACAGAGGAAAUAAAUUUGAAGUUAACCUUUUAAGCUUUUCUUUUUUCUUUUGUUUUUGAUACAAACUUUUUGUAUUUCGAAAGAACCCCCAUCACAUAUUUUCGAUUGAGGCUUCUUAUAGCCGAAUACCAAGAAAAUUUCUAUUGUUUGUUGCGUUUUUGCUCUGUUCUCUGUAGUUGUGUCUCGUUUUGUAGGCGGUGUCAGACGCUUGGAAGAGAAGGGCAUGCGCGGGUGUGGUGGUGGUAGUGCGCAAGGUGGCCCAUGGUUGGCCUAGCGUGCGGCGGUUGUAGGCUUGGGGAGCUGCUAGGGUUUCCUCUUUUUUUUUUUUUGGAAAAUGCUUAGUGGGCUAGGUUGAUUUGGGCCUGUUGGGCUAGUCUUUUAGUUUUGUACUUUGGACUUUAUUUAUUUGGUUUAUUGGGUUUUGUUAUUUUUUAUUUGUCUAGGCCAAAAAUUGGCCAUUACAAAUCCCUUUUAAAAUUUCUUUUAAAAGGUUGUAAUUUAAGUUAUUUAACAUUAAAUAUAAAAUUG